AACGAACGCUGGCGGCAUGCCUAACACAUGCAAGUCGAACGAGACCUUCGGGUCUAGUGGCGCACGGGUGCGUAACGCGUGGGAACCUGCCCUUAGGUUCGGAAUAACUCCCCGAAAGGGGUGCUAAUACCGGAUAAUGUCUUCGGACCAAAGAUUUAUUGCCUUUGGAUGGGCCCGCGUUGGAUUAGCUAGUUGGUAGGGUAAAAGCCUACCAAGGCGACGAUCCAUAGCUGGUCUGAGAGGAUGAUCAGCCACACUGGGACUGAGACACGGCCCAGACUCCUACGGGAGGCAGCAGUGGGGAAUAUUGGACAAUGGGCGAAAGCCUGAUCCAGCAAUGCCGCGUGAGUGAUGAAGGCCUUAGGGUUGUAAAGCUCUUUUACCCGGGAUGAUAAUGACAGUACCGGGAGAAUAAGCUCCGGCUAACUACGUG
rnacentral:rRNA from 1 species